rnacentral:rRNA from 1 species
GACGAACGCUGGCGGCGUGCUUAACACAUGCAAGUCGAACGGUAAGGCCCUUCGGGGUACACGAGUGGCGAACGGGUGAGUAACACGUGGGUGAUCUGCCCUGCACUUCGGGAUAAGCCUGGGAAACUGGGUCUAAUACCGGAUAGGACCACUGCCUGCAUGGGUGGUGGUGGAAAGCUUUUGCGGUGUGGGAUGGGCCCGCGGCCUAUCAGCUUGUUGGUGGGGUGAUGGCCUACCAAGGCGACGACGGGUAGCCGGCCUGAGAGGGGAACCGGCCACGCGGGGACUGAGCCUCGGCACAGACUCCUACGGCGGGAAGACGUGGGGAAUAUUGCACAAUGGGCGCAAGCCUGUUGCAGCAACGCCGGGUGAGGCAUGACGGCCUUCGGGUUGUAAACCUCUUUUAGUAGGGAAGAAGCGAAAGUGACGUUACCUGCAGAAAAAGCACCGGCUAACUACGUGCCAGCCGCCGCGGUAA